UUGCUUUGGCCUCAAGUAUACUAAAAUUGGCGUGAUACAGAAAAGAUUAGCAUGGCCCCGGGCAAGAUGACAUGCACAUUUGUGAAGCAUUCCAUAUUUAA
ensembl:snRNA U6 U6 spliceosomal RNA